GGGGGCGCCUUGGCUUCGACGGGGACGCGGACGCCGUAUGGGGCAUGCCGAGGUGCAGUCACCUCGUAAAUCCGCUGCAAACAAACAAACGCCAACUCUAAGCGUUACGCUCUCGCCGCCUAAUGGCGAGAUGCUGCACUGAUUCGCCUCUGGGUCAGGUCGGGCAACCGACGGCAGCAUCGAUUACAGAGGCUGGAAUCCUCGGGCGUCGUCGACGCGGGUUCGAGAUCAAUUGACGGCUGGCUUACCGUCGGCCCGCCGAUUGGCAGGGCGGUAGGCGAGACUCAAAUCAUUCGGCUACGCAUGUAGAACCAUCGGAAAAAGGUUUCCGGACGCGGGUUCAACUCCCGCCGCCUCCACCA
rnacentral:tmRNA from 1 species